UCGUACAAUCGCCUUCCGGGCGGCGUGA
rnacentral:piRNA from 1 species